rnacentral:tRNA from 1 species
GGGCAUAUAGCUCAGUUGGUUAGAGCGCGGCUCUGAUAAAGCCGAGGUCCUUGGUUCGAAUCCAAGUGUGCCCA